CGGAGGGUGCAAACGUUAUCCGGAAUCACUGGGCGUAAAGAGCAUGUAGGUGGUUUAGUAAGUGGGCGAUUAAAGACCGUUGCUUAACAACGGGACUGUUUCCUAUACUGCUAGACUUGAGUGGGGCAGGGGCAAGCGGAACUUUAGGUGUAGGAGUGAAAUCCGUAGAUAUCUAAAGGAACACCAAUGGCGAAGGCAGCUUGCUGGGCCCUUACUGACACUGAGAUGCGAAAGCGUGGGGAGCGAACGGGAUUAGAUACCCCGGUAGUCCACGCUGUAAACGAUGCUGACUAGGUCUUGGGGAGUAUCGACCCUCCUUUGGACCGAAGCUAACGCGUUAAGUCAGCCGCCUGGGGAGUACGAACGCAAGUUUA
rnacentral:rRNA from 1 species